rfam:Cetobacterium somerae ATCC BAA-474 genomic scaffold Scaffold44, whole genome shotgun sequence.
UUAAAAUAAAGGCAAAGCAUGGGAAACUGUGUGACGCAAAGCUAUAGGGCCUUUAAAAUGGCAGCCAGUUGCAGUA